rnacentral:ncRNA from 1 species
UCGGGUCUGUGGUUGAAAGCCGAUGCCAGUCGCAGGCAAAGCGGUCCACGUAAGCCGGUCAAAGCGCCGGUGAGCAUGGUGCGGUCUAGAGGUAAGCCCGGCCGCGCGGGUUCCCGCGCGAGAGGACGGCGUGAGAGCGCUGAUGCGCAGAGCAAGGUUCCGGCCGGCGAGUGUGGGGGCAAAGACCAGGUCAGCCGAA